AGCAAUGGAGGGGUGUGCUUCCGAGACCUCCACUGCUUUAAUCUGGCAAUGUUGGUUACGCAAGUCUGGCGCCUAAUUGAUGAGCAAGAAUCACUUUGUGUAAGAGUGCUACGAGCAAAAUAUUAUCCUUCAGGUGACAUUUUGAACGCAGAGCCGAGAAAAGGAGCAUCUUUUACAUGGCAGAGUACAGUUGCUGGAAUUCAAACUUUUAAACGUGGUCAUGUCUGGAGGAUCGGUAAUGGAGAGAAGGUUAAUAUUUGGGAGGACCACUGGAUCCGUUGA
rnacentral:rRNA from 1 species